AGGGGCGGCUGGUGAAGCCUGAGAUGUACCCUUCGAACCUGACCCGGGUAAUGCCGGCGUAGGAAUAGGAUAUAUU
rnacentral:ncRNA from 1 species